UACUCCUCACAAUGAGGUACCUUUAUCCUCUUCUCCAUAGUCUAUUUUAGCUUAUUUUUUUUACCUUGUCCUCUCAAUUAAUUUUCCUUUGAUGUUAUCUUAUUGGUUUAAAUCAAUUUAAAACUCUACAACAAGAAUAUUUACAUACUCUGCUGUGCAAAGUUUGUGGGAAUACAACCACGGAAGCAACCAGUUUGCAAGCCCUAGCCUCUCGCCAUCAUCCGCCGGCGCCCUCUUCCACCUCGCCCUAACCUCUCGCCAUCAUCCGCCGGAGUCAUCUUCCACCUCGCCCAAGCCCUAACCUCUCGCCAUCAUCCACCUCCGCUGUCCGCCGCCGCCAUCAUCCAACUGGCCCACAGAUUUCAAAGCCCUAACCCCUCCCCGACGGCCUCCAGCGUCCCCGACGGCGCCAUCUUCCACCCCCGCGACCGGCGACGCCCCAAGUUCUGCCGCCGUUUCUGCGUAAAUUGGUAACUUGCUUUGGCAUAAAGGAUCUUGGAUUGUUUCCAAGUUGAGUUGUACUAUACUUAUUUGGUUAUAGUAUUCAUGUUAUAUGGGUUGAAGGGAUGGCUCCUGUUUUUUCUUGAUCUGCAUGGCAAUGUGUGUGGCACAUCAUAUAGGGGAAUCCAAUUGUGGGGGUUCAUAUCCUUUUAUAUUCAGCUGUUGUAAUAGACGUGUAUUGUCCACAAGGUCCUGAUAAUUGACCUAGGCAAGGAACUGUUCUUUGCCAUACCAUUUCUGAUGCAGAAGGGAAAUUUGUCUUAAUCUUUACCUUGUGGUUCCUCUUGGUGCAAUCCCAAAAUCGAAGAAGUGCACUAUUCAUAUAUUCAUAGGACAGAAUAUCAAAAGCUAUCGGGAUAAAGAAAGACAUUGCAGACUUUCCUCGGCAUAUAAUAAAUCUAAGAAGAGAGAGGGUAGAAAAUCAUGUGCACCAGCAAACCUUUUUAGUUAAUUGCGAGAGUAGAAUCUUUUUCAGUUAUUUCUAAUAUUGUAUUAGCUUUGAAAGUAAAAGAUGUAUCAUUGGUGUUUUAUUUAUAAAAUUGACUCAAAUGUUUAUUAGAUGAAUAAAAAUUAUGUAUUCACAUUUUGAUUGUAUUUUGAAAAUUUUUAUUUCUAUUUUAUUUGAUAAA